rnacentral:rRNA from 1 species
GAUGAACGCUAGCGGCAGGCCUAAUACAUGCAAGUCGAACGGUGUCUUCGGACAUAGUGGCGCACGGGUGCGUAACACGUAUGCAACCUACCUUACAUUGGGGGAUAGCCUUUCGAAAGGGAGAUUAAUACCGCAUAAGCCAGUAGCUGGGCAUCCAGCAGCUGUUAAAGAUUUAUCGAUGUAAGCUGGGCAUGCGUCCAAUUAGCUAGUUGGUGAGGUAAAGGCUCACCAAGGCAAUGAUUGGUAGGGGAACUGAGAGGUCAAUCCCCCACACUGGCACUGAGAUACGGGCCAGACUCCUACGGGAGGCAGCAGUAGGGAAUAUUGGGCAAUGGACGCAAGUCUGACCCAGCCAUGCCGCGUGCAGGAUGAAGGCGUUAUGCGUUGUAAACUGCUUUUAUACAGGAAGAAACGACUCUUGCGAGAGGCAUUGACGGUACUGUAUGAAUAAGCACCGGCUAACUCCGUGCCAGCAGCCGCGGUAAUAC